rnacentral:lncRNA from 1 species
CCGCUGUGCCCCAACUCGGGCGAGCUUGGGGCUCAGCCGCGAUCCCCUCCCACCGCCUUCUCGCCGUCCCCAUCCCCCACGCUGACUUUCCCUUUCUUCGGGCUGCAGCUGCAGCUGGAGAGACUCAGCCAUCACAGUUCCUCGUUUGACUCUUGGAUGGAAACUUUAGAGUUGGUUUUGAACUUGGCCAGUGAAGCCAGAUGCUCCCUCUUGAUAUCCGGUUCCCUACGUGGCCUUGAGGGAUCUGGUUUUAAUGACCUAGUCUGAUCACCACAGCCACAGCAGUAGCAGGCCAAGAGAGGGCUUGUGUGGGUUCAACAGGUGAUUGCUUUGCUGACGCUGCACUCACUGGGAGAAGCUGGCAGGUCCUCCAGCCCAGCAAGGAGAUGUUCCCGGGACAUCUCAUCCAAAGGCACAGGACUCACAACCUGGAGCUUUCAGGAGCAGGUCUGGCAAAGAUCCAGGCCCAAGGCACGGCAUCAGCUUCGGACAGCAUGAGAACACACAAGAUUCAGUUACACCAAUGCAUGAAAAAGACCAGACUGGUUGUUGUAAGUGCCCACCUUCCAUCCUGAGACGGAAACCACCAGAGUGCCCCAUACCAGGUGACAGGAGAAGAGCCGAGAGGCGAGUCCGCUUCCAAGAGCCGGAGGAGAUGGCUGUGCAUGACAUCUCCUAUGUGGACACAGUUGGAGCCCCAGGCAGGUGGUCACCUGGAUGUUCUCUGUUCCUGUGCCUCAGCCUUUGUAUCCUGCUUGGACUAGCCCUGAGCCUCUACUGUGGUCAGGCCAAGCUGGGCUCAAAAGCCCUGGAAGAAUUCCGAGCCUGGCUCCUCCUCUUCCUCCUCCGCGUGAGACACAUGGCUGUGACCUUCUGGAAGUGGUUUGGGAGGCAGUGACAGAGCCCCGGCGCCUGUGCAGAUGUGGAUUUUCCACCUUCCUCAUUUUGAGGAAUCUCUUCAGCUGCAGUUCUGGAAAGCAACUUCUACAGCCCCAUAUCUUCCAAGGCAAUGAAUGGUAUCUGAGUCUGGAAUAUGGAGGGCUCUGAAGCGAAGUCCCUGAAAGCCAAGGGUCUUCUGAGCAGCAUUUUCAAGUUCAAGGAGAAACGACAGUGAGUCUGCUGAGAAAGCUCCAAGCCCCUGUUCUUCUGGGUUCUCCAGGGGCAGCCAUAAGUGGUAUGAGAACUUCUCACAAUCACUACUAAAAUACAUAUGCAUGCACACGCACACAAGCACACACCCAGAUGUUCAGAGCUGGAAGUGAUCUCAAGUUUAACUUGGAGUUACCUGGAGGAAUCCCUUCUACAACAGGGCCAAUAAGUGCUCAUCUAGCCUCCACUUGAACACUUCUAGUGAUGAGGAUCUCACUACUUUCAGAGACAAAUCAUUCCACUUUGAGUCGAUUCUAAUUGGUAGGGACUUUUUCAUUAUAUUGUGCUAAAAUCUGCCUCUCCAGUAACUUUCACCCUUAGCUCCCAGUUCUGCCCUCUGGGCCAAACAGAAUAGGUCUCACACCUCUCUCCCACAAUACCCCUUCAGGUCAUUGAAUGUAGUGACCUGAGUAUGUGCUGAGUUUUCCCUUCUCUAGGCUAAAUAUCCCCACAUCUGUGAACAUAUCCUCAUAUAGGAUGGUCUUCAGUCCUCAUCAUUUGGGUCAUCUUCCUCUCCAGCUUUUCAGUGUCUUGCUAAUGUAUGGUAUCCAGAAAUUAAUACGGUAUUUUAGACAUGUUUACCAUGGCAGAGGUCAGCCAGACUAUGGCCUCCUUCAUCCUGGACACUCAGAUUCCUUUAAUGCAACCUAUAAUUGCAUUCUCAUUCUGAUUGCUAUGUCAUUCUGUUGACUCAUCUUGAGCUUAUGCUCGGUCCAUUAAGAAUCCCAAGUUUCUCUUAUUCAUAGAUAUGUAUACUUAAACUCACACAAAUGCACAUAUCUGUGCAUGUACACGUACACUUGUGUACACACACACACACACACACACACACACACACACACACAUUCCUCUAGGAUUCUUGGAAGCCCAAACACUGCCAGGUUAAACUGCUGUUCCAUUAAUCACACAUUGGACUCAUGUUACUAUAACUUUUAUCAAAGAACAUUGGAUGCUGGGCAAAUCAUUUUCUCAAUCAUUAAAGAAAGUUUCACUUGUUUGUCCAUGAAUAGAUUUCAUUCUGUUUUCCAAAUCCGUCACCUUUCUCCAGUUUAACUCAAUCUCAUGCAUUAAGUGGAUUACUACGUAUGUACAUACAAGGUGAAAGGAAGUCAGGGCAUAACAGCAGACCAAGAGAUGGAUGGCCUUGGAGGCAGGAAGACCUGGUUUCAAGUCGUACCUCUAAAUGCAUACUAGCUAUGUGAUCAUACAAGUAACAUUGCCUUCCAUGCCUUCUGACUUCUCAAGACUAUAAGUUACAGAUGUAAGUGGAAGGACUUUCCACAGUGAAAUUUAAUCUAUGGAAUCACAUCUGGACAAAAUAAAAUGUUUCACACUGUGCUAAGUCCUGGGUGA